rnacentral:tRNA from 1 species
GGUCCCAUGGUGUAAUGGUCAGCACGUUGGACUUUGAAUCCAACAAUCCGAGUUCGAGUCUCGGUGGGACCU